CUCCCUCUUGGUGGUAAGAUGAUCACCAGCAUCAGCAGCAACUUGCUUACAUUCUACGAGCUUCACGAUUCCCACAGAAAAAGAGAACUCUGUUUCCUAACACUUUGCAUAAACUCAUAGACUUGAGUCUCAUAGCCUGGCAUGGGUCACACGGUCAUCUCUGAGCCAAUCACUGUGGCCAAGGUAAUGGAAAACACUGGUUGGCCAGGUGUAGGUAUUAUGCCUCUCUCUGUCUCUUUGCAUCCAAGGGGUUGGGUCAGUUCACCUAAACCACUGUGACCUGCCAGUGAGAAGAGAUGGUUCCCUAAAGAGAACACAGAUGAUUUAAAACACACAUUUUGUUGACUGCCUUUUCUUACCGAGAAAGUCUAUGUGCAGAAAUUGAAGGUGAUAGAAAAGAAGAAGAAGGCUGGUUCUUGUUAGAGAAAUGGAGCUGUGGAUGGGAAAAGGACAGGAACCAAUAGACCCGAGAAAGAGAGGGACGCUACUUCUCUCAGCAGGAGAAGAGCCGGCCUGAUCGUCCAAGGAAGGUGUCAUCGGAAGAGGACCGUCCUGGUUGUCAGAUCUGAAUAAACCUGUACCUCUCUGCAAAUACUGCCAUGAAUAGGAAUGAGAAAAUCUGCUCUUUGACUUUAUCUCCAUCUUAAUUUCGCUCAUAAACCCAGCAGGGUGGAAUCUGGGCAUAGAAUGUGCCAGUGGGUGUCGGAACAGCAGCCGGCAGGCUGUGUUCUAGUGACCCCGGCGAACUGUGUGACCUUGGGGAUGGGCCUUAGCUUUUCUGGGGCUUUAUUUUCCUGCCUGUGAAAUUAGGGAAUUGGAGCUAGUUGGUGCUUUCUUGAGUCAGUAGAUUUGCUAAUAGGCUAAUGUCCUGAAUCUACCCAUGCAGCCUAAUUCAGUGGUUCUCAACUAGGGUUGGGGUGGGGGUGGGGGGGCUCUGCGCCACCCAGGGGACAUUCGUCAACAUUUGUAGACAUUUUUGUUUGUCACAGUGGGCGGUGAGUGCUGCUGGCAUCCCGUGGGUAGAGGCCAGGGGUGCUGCCAAACAUCCUACAAUGACAUCCUACAAUGCGCCCCACAACAAAGAAUGAUCCAGCCCCAAAUAUCAAUAGUGCUAAGGUGGAGAAACUUUGCCCUCAACUACCAAUUAGACAUAAAUUCACAUCGUCCCUCCAAAUUAACAUGCGGCCACAGGAGAUGUCCUGGACAAACUCCUUUCUCCUGACCCGCGAACACACAAAUCAUCCUAAGUGCUGUGGUCUACUGUGGAUUCCUAGGGAGAAAGAUACUCUAUGAAUCUCGUAGCAUCUGAGAAGAAAGCUGGAUGUCAACAUGCAUUUGUGCCAGUAGGGAAAACAGCAGCGUGCCCUCCACAUUUUCUCCAGAAGAAUUCCAUCCUGACCUCCCUUUCCACCCCCUGAAAAAUUCUUCCAUGGCCUCCUCCAGCCGUGUGAGUUAUGCAUAGUGGAUAAGCAGCUUUGUUUCAGUCUUUAGAAUGCUGAUGUUUAAACUAAUGCGUUUAUUUAUGUUGAAUGCAGCUUUCCACCCAGAACAUUCUGAAUUCUUCUUCCCAGUCUGGCUUUUUAGUACAUGAUUGUCGAAGCUGCUGGUUUCCAUUUCCUGUGUUAACAAGAUCUGACUUUGUGGAUCAUUUAAUAUUUAUCCAAAAUAUUUGAUACACAUAUAAUAACAUAAUCACUCAGUCCCUUAGCCUGACAUGGUUGCAUAAGCACCUACCAGGUUUGAAAAUCUACAUUGUUCAGAAUAUGUUGUCCGUUAGUAUAAUGUAUUCCAGGGCAUAGAUUUCUUGCCAAAAUAAUUCUGCCCGGUGAAUGAUAAAUGUGUUGUGAUUAUUUCUUCUGCUUUUGUGAAAGCAUACAGUAGGGAUAGUGUCUUGAAAGCUAUACACAGAUCAGUGGGACACAGGGCUUCUUUGUUUAGUUCUGCCAUACUUAGAAUUUGUUCCCUAAAUUCUUUCCCCAAACUCUCUUUUACUAGUUUCUACUCCCUGAAGUGAUUGGGGCUGGCAAUGGAAGGCUGUGUUUAGCUAAUAAAUUC
rnacentral:lncRNA from 10 species